CCCCACCCAAACCCUAGCCGCCACUUCCCACCACCUCCUCUCCUUCCCUCGCUCUGCUCUCUCCAUGCCCAGGCGAGGGAGUCCGCCGCCUCGCCUCCUCACGCGAGCCACUGCUGUCGCCGCACCAUCGUACUGUCGUCGCCAUCCUCCUCUCGCUCCGGUCGAUGCAUCCGCCAACGAGGAGGCCGGGACCGUCGGAUCCGGUGACCCCGGCCUCCUCGUCGGCGGAGGGGAGACCGACUGUCACCCUCUCUACUCUUCUCCUUCUACGUCCGGCACCGCUACAACGACGGCCGCGCGGAUCGCGUGAGGCAACGGGUGGCUGCUCCCUACUCUUCUCCCUCUCCCUCUCCAUUCUCUUCCUUUGCAGAUCGGCGGAGGCUUGCAACAACAACAACGGCUGCGUGGGUGAGCAAUCGAGGAGGCCAGGAAUCACCAGAUCCGGAAGGACGGCGGCCCGGUUCGGAGAGGGAGCAUCCCGAUCUGUGGCAUUGAGGCCCAUUGUAAGUGUCGAUGGCGGUCGUUCCUUCACAGUGAUCCAGGGCCGCUGGGUCUAUUGAGCUCGGUAUCGACGGCAGCAGCAGCUCGGGCAAGAUGGAAGAAAUGUGUCAGACACUGCCUCCUCCGAGAGCAUACACCAGCGACGAGGCCAAAGUCGAUCUUCCGCAACCCCGUCUGGCAUUAUAACUUAAAUCAGAAUCACUUCAGCUUCAGCUUGCUUGGAGCACGCCGGCGCAGGGUUUCCUCGACGGGUCUUGGCUCUGCCGUGCCCUCCUCGCGCCGCCCUUUCAUACUGACAGUUGUUCGAGGUUGCCUCCCCCGCUCAUGGCGACCUCCACCUCAGUUGGAGUUGGGAAGCUCCUUUCCCGACGUCCCCACAACACGGUGACCUUGGCCUCAACCCGGUGCUGCUACGCUCAGCUCAACGAUUGCUCAAACUACAAUGGGCAAUAACAAUAUUGCAUUUGAGGGCCUCAUUUUUGGUUGCCCUCACCUGAGCAUAUGUAGGAUACAGCCUGUGAUGAUGCCGUUAGUACAGAGUUGUUCCCUCUCUCAGCCUCCCACCAUCUUCUCCUGUCUCUCUCUGAGCAUCACCUCCAUUGCUGUCAAGGUGAUGUUUGAGCUCAAUCGGUCAAAGAAGGUUGAAUAUGUAAAUAAUUUGCCAACAUGAUUUUCUCAUAUUGGGUGGUUUAGUAAGUUAACACUUAAUACCAAUCACUUCAUUUCAGCUUCUCACUAACAAGCAGCCAAGGUCUCUUCACGGAUUAUUGUCCAUGGAUGGCCAAGCUUUUCAGCAAAAUGAAAAGGUGAAAUAUAAUGAAAUAUUAUUCCCUUGCUCCAUAAAGCUUCAGAUGUGGAGUGAGCUUGCUGCUCUGCAAGCUGACAUUCCAUUUUUAAAUGUAGAGUGUGCUUGAAUUAAUCAAAGAAGCAGAUUUAUAUACAUCACAAACCUUUUUUUUUAUGCUGUUGCUCAUUUAAAAAAAUUGUGAAGUUUGUGCUGUCUAUUACAAUUACAUCCAGCCGUGCUAUUCAUCUUGGCCAAGGAGGCCAUCGCGUCCAUGGCAUUUUACUCCUUGAGUGCACUGCUUUAAUGCUAUUAUAAACAUAAAAGUGAACUUAUGGAAGUCCAGAUUUCCUAUUGUAAAUUUUUGUGCUAUUCUCAUCAAACUUCAUACUGUAAA